GUGAGCUAUUGCAUGCUGGCUCAUCUCCAGUGGGUCAGUGAUGAGAGCCCCUGUUGAGGAACAUCCAGCGCUGGUUUAGAUCUCUCUCUUCUCUGAAAAUCUGUGGAGUAGGUGAUUGGAGUGCUUGCACCUGCACAGUUUGCAACAAACAGUCAGCUAGAUUGCAGCAUAUGCCUCCGGCCUGAGCCCAAGCGUCCGUGAUCAGCUGAGUGAACCCAGGAUGUUUGGUUAGGUAGUUUUGAAACUUGAAAGGUUGGGUUCCGGCUUUAGGUAACUGAUAGGCUAGGUCGGUUAAGCAAGGAGUGUGGUCUGAGACAGAAGGAGGGAGAAAGGUGGCUACAGCAUGGGGGAAGGAAGAGAUGACAUUGUUGUUUACAAGCUGCCUGUCCAAUUUCUUUGCUAUCGGGGAUUCAGGCUGGUUAUUCUUCCAAGUAUGAUUGGGGCCAUUGAAGCGCAGAUCAAAUAAUCCAGUCUGUAGGAGGCAGUCAUGAAAGAGAUACAUUUGGUGGUUUCGAGUGUUCACAGAGGGAGAUGAGUGCUCUAAGGGGAAUAAGAUUUGGUUGAAAUCACCACCAACUAGCCACAUCUUGCUCUGCAAGUCAAAGGUGGAGUGAAGCUGUAAGAGGUCGGUCCAGAGGUCGAUGCGCUCUUCUGCUAGAUUGGAAGCGUACACUGCUGUGUAGAAUAAUGGCUCUUUAUCAGGGAGAGUCAACAGACAAGUUAGAGUUUGCCUACUCUGGUGGACGAC